GACGUAGGUGGCGAACGUUAUCCGGAAUUAUUGGGCGUAAAGGGUGCGUAGAUGGCCUGAUAAGUUAGCAGUGGGAAAUCGAGGCUCAACCUCGUGGAAGCUGGUAAUACUGUCAGGCUCGAGUGCAGGAGAGGUUAACGGAACUCCAUGUGGAGCGGUAAAAUGUGUAGAUAUAUGGAAGAACACCGAUAACGGCGAAGGCAGUUAACUAUUCUGUUACUGACGUUGAGGCACGAAGCGUGGGGAGCAAAACGG
rnacentral:rRNA from 1 species